rnacentral:rRNA from 1 species
GACGAACCGUGCGAACGUUGUUCGGAAUCACUGGGCUUAAAGGGCGCGUAGGCGGGCGAGCAAGUUCGGGGUGAAAUCUUUCGGCUCAACCGGAAAAGGGCCUCGGAGACUGCUCGUCUGGAAGGAGGUAGGGGCAGGUGGAACUGCUGGUGGAGCGGUGAAAUGCGUUGAUAUCAGCAGGAAGCCGGUGGCGAAAGCGACCUGCUGGACCUCUUCUGACGCUGAGGCGCGAAAGCUGAGGGGAGCAAACGGGGAUUAAGAAACC